UGGCUGUACAGUCCAAACAAUUUUUAUUUUAUUUUAUUUUAUUUUUUGUGGAGAAACUACCGGAAAAUUUUUGUAGAAGAAAAAUCUAAUCAAUUUACCUSAAGAUAACCUUAUAAUAUAAUUCGUGCAGACUGAACAUUUGAAGCAAACCACUCAAAAUUAUACUUUUCCGGUAAUAUUAUAUUUAUUUGGUGUGUGUGGUCGUAUCUUGUGUGCAUGUGAGGAUUGUGAGACUAAUUUAUCUCCAUACAAAACAACAAAUACAACAGUAAAGAUGCAUGCAWGUGAUUUAUUUUGUAAGCUGAAGGUGUUUCUGGUAAGUCUCUAGCCUUCGUCCACAUCGUCCGACACGUUUAWGAUUUAAGAACUGUUGAUGGGUCGGAGGGGCUGUGAUUAACUUGAGAUGCUCUGGAAAGUUUGAGCAACAAGACUGCGAUGCUCAGGUGAGGAAACUGAAAGCAACGGUCUCUUACGUAGGACAUCGAACUGCCUCAGUGCGCACCGACGGUCUGAUACCAACAGAACCACAUCGUCUGCAAAGAGUUGAAACCAACAGCAAACUGGACUGAAGACGAGGGAUGACCCUGGUGGAGUCCUACCUGUAAGACCUGUUUCUUGGGUUGUACCGUGAUGGUUAACUCUACCCUUUAACAAGUUUCAGGAGGAUUUAAAGGUCCAGAAUCUGUUUUUAAUGUAUUUUUAACACUGUUUAAAAGCGGUGGUGUUGGGCUUUCAGGUUGCAGUAAAACCCACCUGAUUAGAAACACUCAGACUUUGAGAGGGAAACGUAAACAGUUGGCUGAGUGCACAGCUGUCCGCUCUGAGCUUCGGUCAACACUUCUUAUCAAAUCAAAUCAACGUGUUUGAUUUCUCUCCAGGACUUUUAUUUCCCUCCACUCAACGGUGCAGGGGGUUGAUUUUGUUUUACACUUAGAAUUUUAUCAAGUAACCACGAAAUUGUGAGCUUAUUUGUACAUUAGAGUGAGUUUAAAAUCCAAAAAGGCGUUGUGCAAUCGUGUCGGUUUAUUUAGGGUAUUUUUAUCUGUUUGUUGUUAGACGAGCCGUCUCGCUUUUGUUUUUGUGGCUUUGUGGCUCUGGUCUGCUGUCUGAAUGUUUACGUCACGCUCGGAGCACCCAUCACAAUGAUUCAUGAGUCCCUCCUGGUGCUGGAGGUGGCAAACGCUGGUAUUUCUGGGACAGACGCACGCUGGCUGCUGCUGCUCUUAUUGUUCCAUUUUUUUUUCAACAUUUUUUGGCUGUUUUCAGAGCAGGAGGCGUCGUGUUCCAGAUUUAAUCUGUCGAUGUAGAUUUUAUUUUCUGAAAGUGAAGUUUUAAAGUUUGGACUUAACAUCAGCUGUAGGUUUGUAAGGAUUUGAGCUGUCAUAUUCACUGUUUAUGCUGAUGUAUGUGCGCCUGCAGAGCCUGAACUGGAGGCAGUUUAAGUGGGUAAAUGGAUCUUACUUCCUCUGCACAGUUUCCACCACUGAGUCAAUAAACCCAAAUAAAAGCUGUGAAGCACCAAAAUAGCUACACUUGAGUUAAUGCUCCCUCCUCUUUAUUAGUAUAAUGUGUCUCUGCAGGAGUCCCUGUCAGACCGUCGGUCUGGAAAACCCACUGAAGCACCCUGCAGGCCUGACCGGGACGACCCGAGUCCAAACAAAACAGGAAGUGCUGACGUUAUGGAGGCUGGUUUUGGUCUGACCGGACCGGUGACCCCGUUCCCCGCCUCGCUGCUGCGGUUCUGUCCCCACACGAAACGCGCCUCAUAUUCAAGGGAAAACCCGCUGUAGACUCACCAGACCCGGCUGUGAGCAGAGACGAACCCCGGUGGUGAAAUGUGGAUCAGGUGGAGGAAAAGUUGUCGGCUCCUCGGAUCAGAUGCUGCGUCUUCACGGWCGGAUCCAGGCAGCUGGAUGAGUCCUGCUGGGACGAACCGACCUGCAGCUCUGACUCAGAUGAAUGGAUCCUGAAAACACCGGGUCUGUGGAAAUAUACGGAGCGGAGCUGYAGGAGUUAUAGGCUGCUGCUGUGUGCCGCUGCACAGAAACACAGAGGGACGACGACAUCUGGUGGCUGGAAGCUGUAUGACAGGCUGAAGGAAAACUUGAGUUCUUAGUCAGAACUUAGACCAUUGUUUCUGUGGAGCCCAGCCGGUGACAUUGUAUAAUCAAAAUAAUGCAUGGCCACAAAAUAAUUUAUGCAAUCAUUUCAAUGCAGAGACUGGUAAUUGUAAACAUGGGCAAUUUUGAAUAAAUAUAUUUUAUUUUAUUGUUA